rnacentral:lncRNA from 1 species
UAAGCAUAGGCUAUGUGUGUUUGUUUUUUAAUCCUGGACUAGAAGUACUGUAGGGCUGUGGCCUUGCCUAUGGGCUGUGUGUGAGACAACUGUGUACUUGCUGGUUUUAGUGAUCUUGUAUACAUAGUAUUCAACAUUUACACCUGGUCAUUGUUUGUAUUUAGGCCCCUAUUUUGUAUGUAUAUGGUGUUGUAGUGUUACCAGGUAGGGUUCUUGGCCUCCCCUCAUAAAUACUAAUUGAUAUGAGGCCAGAGAUCAAAUUCAUGCAAGGUUUUAUUCUGCACACCUACUUCAAAAACAAACAUUAUAUUCCCAUGUUCAGCUGCACACUGUGUAGGGGUGAGGCAGUUCCUUUUAUAGGAUGAGGUUUUGGGCAUGUGCAGGGGUUUGGCCGGAGGGGUAGCUGAGGUGGUUUUCCCACUCCUUAAAUAGUGGUGCAUGUAGGGGGUGUACAUAGUCCCCUGCUUUUGUCUCUGUUCUUCAAAAGUGGCAAUUGUAUCUUUCUCAUAAUUUGUCCCAAAUGUGCAAGCACAUGGUUCUUUCUAGUCAUUUAUAUUUUUGCUGUAUUUCAUUCUCCAGGAGAGGUUUGUCUACGUGCAAUCACUGCAGCCACUACAGCAAAGGGUGCCAGUUCCCAACCUGUCUCAGCCAGAAAGGCAGUUCAGUAUUCAAGUGACACAGAGAUGGGAUUAAGAUGGCAGAAUAGAAGGACUGGAGCUCAACUUCUCUCCUAAAAUCAACAAAAUUCACAACUAAAGGCUGAGCAAUCUUCAACCAAAUGGACUGGAAACCUUAAAAAAGAUAUCCUACUCCAGAAGAAAAAGAGGAGGCCACAUCAAGAGGUAGGAGGGUGUUUACAUGAUAUAAGCAACCACAUACCUCCCGGGUGGGAAGCCCCACAGACUGGAAACUAACUGGUUCACAGAGACUCACCUACAGGAGUGAGACUUCUGAGCCCCACAACAAACUCUCACAUGUGGGGAUCUGGCACUGGGAGAAAGAUCUCCUGGAGCAUCUGGCAUUGAAGGCCGGUGGGGUUUGUGUGCAGGAGCUCCACAGGCCUGGGGAAAACGGAGACCCCAUUCUUAAAACGUGUGCACAGUCUUUCACAUGCACUGGCUCCCAGGGAAAAGCAAAGUCUCCAUAGGAAUCUGGGUCAAACCUGACUGCAGUUCUCGGAGGACAU